rnacentral:rRNA from 1 species
CAGCCUGCCGCGUGUGUGAAGAAGGUCUUCGGAUUGUAAAGCACUUUAAGUUGGGAGGAAGGGCAGUAAAUUAAUACUUUGCUGUUUUGACGUUACCGACAGAAUAAGCACCGGCUAACUCUAGUGCCAGCAGCCGG